AACGAACGCUGGCGGCAUGCCUAACACAUGCCAGUCGAACGAGACCUUCGGGUCUAGUGGCGCACGGGUGCGUAACGCGUGGGAACCUGCCCUUAGGUUCGGAAUAACUCCCCGAAAGGGGUGCUAAUACCGGAUAAUGUCUUCGGACCAAAGAUUUAUCGCCUUUGGAUGGGCCCGCGUUUGAUUAGCUAGUUGGUAGGGUAAAAGCCUACCAAGGCGACGAUCCAUAGCUGGUCUGAGAGGAUGAUCAGCCACACUGGGACUGAGACACGGCCCAGACUCCUACGGGAGGCAGCAGUGGGGAAUAUUGGACAAUGGGCGAAAGCCUGAUCCAGCAAUGCCGCGUGAGUGAUGAAGGCCUUAGGGUUGUAAAGCUCUUUUACCCGGGAUGAUAAUGACAGUACCGGGAGAAUAAGCUCCGGCUAACUCCGUG
rnacentral:rRNA from 1 species